rnacentral:misc_RNA from 1 species
CCCAACUAUCCCUAUUAAUCAUUACGUCAAUCCUAGAAACCAACAAAAUAGGAUCAAACGUCCUAUUUCAUUAUUCCAUGCUAAUGUAUUCAAGCGUUAGCCUGCUUUAAACACUCUAAUUUUUUCAAAGUAACAGUCCUGUUUCCCUGCAACACCAAAUUAAUGGCAUUACAGUUCUUCAGAAAGGAGGAACCAGCGAGACCAGUACGAACCAAAGGCACGACCAACCUGCUGAUCCCGAAAUUCAACUACGAGCUUUUUAACUGCAACAACUUUAAUAUACGCUAUUGGAGCUGGAAUUACCGCGGCUGCUGGCACCAGACUUGCCCUCCAA